AGGACGAACGCUGGCGGCGUGCCUAACACAUGCAAGUCGAACGAGGUCCAUCCGGUAGCAAUACUGGUGAAGAUCAAGUGGCGAACGGGUGAGUAGCACGUGAGCAACCUGCCCCGAAGACCGGGACAACACCGGGAAACCGGUGCUAAUACCGGAUAUCCCCACCGAGUCGCAUGACUUGGUGAGGAAAUGGAUUCCGCUUUGGGAGGGGCUCGCGGCCUAUCAGCUUGUUGGUGAGGUAACGGCUCACCAAGGCUUCGACGGGUAGCUGGUCUGAGAGGACGAUCAGCCACACUGGGACUGAGACACGGCCCAGACUCCUACGGGAGGCAGCAGUGGGGAAUCUUGCACAAUGGGCGAAAGCCUGAUGCAGCAACGCCGCGUGAGGGACGAAGGCUUUCUGAGUUGUAAACCUCUUUCAGCAGGGACGAUUGUGACGGUACCUGCAGAAGAGCCCGGCAACUACGCGCCAGCAGCCGCGGUAAU
rnacentral:rRNA from 1 species